rnacentral:rRNA from 1 species
UACGUAGGGCGCAAGCGUUGUCCGGAAUUAUUGGGCGUAAAGAGCUCGUAGGCGGCCUGUUGCGUCCGCUGUGAAAUCCCGGGGCUCAACCCCGGGCCUGCAGUGGAUACGGGCUGGCUAGAGGCAGGCAGGGGAGAACGGAAUUCCUGGUGUAGCGGUGAAAUGCGCAGAUAUCAGGAGGAACACCGGUGGCGAAGUCGGUUCUCUGGGCCUGUACUGACGCUGAGGAGCGAAAGCGUGGGGAGCGAACAGG